AUUGAACGCUGGCGGCAGGCUUAACACAUGCAAGUCGAACGGUAACAGGGAGAAACCUGUUUCUCUGCUGACGAGUGGCGGACGGGUGAGUAAUGCUUGGGAAUCUGCCUUAUGGAGGGGGAUAACCACUGGAAACGGUGGCUAAUACCGCGUAAUAUCUUCGGAUUAAAGUGUGGGACUUUCGAGCCACACGCCAUAAGAUGAGCCCAAGUGAGAUUAGGUUGUUGGUGAGGUAAUGGCUCACCAAGCUUACGAUCUCUAGCUGGUUUGAGAGGAUGACCAGCCACACUGGGACUGAGACACGGCCCAGACUCCUACGGGAGGCAGCAGUGGGGAAUAUUGCACAAUGGGCGCAAGCCUGAUGCAGCCAUGCCGCGUGAAUGAAGAAGGCCUUAGGGUUGUAAAGUUCUUUCAUUAGUGAGAAAGCGGUUAUAUCUAAUAGGUGUAACCAUUGAUGUUAGCUAAAGAAGAAGCACCGGCUAACUCCGUGCCAGCAGCCGCGGUAAUACGGAGGGUGCGAGCGUUAAUCGGAAUGACUGGGCGUAAAGGGCACGCAGGCGGUUAUUUAAGUCAGAUGUGAAAGCCCCGAGCUUAACUUGGGAAUUGCAUUUGAUACUGGGUAACUAGAGUCCUCUAGGGAGGGGUAGAAUUCCAUGUGUAGCGGUGAAAUGCGUAGAGAUGUGGAGGAAUACCGAAGGCGAAGGCAGCCCCUUGGAGAGAGACUGACGCUCAUGUGCGAAAGCGUGGGUAGCAAACAGG
rnacentral:rRNA from 1 species